AUUGAACGCUGGCGGCGGGCCUAACACAUGCAAGUCGAGCGUGAAAGUCCUUCGGGAUGAGUAAAGCGGCGGACGGGUGAGUAACGCGUAGGAAUCUACCUGAUAGUGGGGGAUAACGUCCCGAAAGGGGCGCUAAUACCGCAUACGUUCUGAGGGAGAAAGCAGGGGAUCGCAAGACCUUGCGCUAUCAGAUGAGCCUGCGUCCGAUUAGCUAGUUGGUGGGGUAAAGGCCUACCAAGGCGACGAUCGGUAACUGGUCUGAGAGGAUGAUCAGUCACACUGGAACUGAGACACGGUCCAGACUCCUACGGGAGGCAGCAGUGGGGAAUAUUGGACAAUGGGGGCAACCCUGAUCCAGCCAUGCCGCGUGUGUGAAGAAGGCCCUCGGGUUGUAAAGCACUUUAAGCGGGGAGGAAGGCUCGGCAGCUAAUACCUGUCGGGAUUGACGCUACCCGCAGAAUAAGCACCGGCAAACUUCGUGCCAGCCGCCGCGGUAA
rnacentral:rRNA from 1 species